AUCCAGCUGACGAGUCCCAAAUGGGACGAAACCCGAGUCCUGGAU
rfam:Schistosoma mansoni strain Puerto Rico chromosome 1, complete genome